AUGCAGGCAGGAGUCGGUCUACUUGUCUCGGACAUGAUGCCUAUAUACAUGAUCAUACCUAGAUAUUCUCAUAACUAUGCUCAAUUCUGUCAAUUGCUCAACAGUAAUUUGUUCACCCACCAUAGAAUACUUAUGCUCUCGAGAGAAGCCACUAGUGAAACCUAUGGCCCCCGGGUCUAUCUUUAUCAUAUUGAUCUCCUACUACUUAGUUAUUUCCUUUGCUAUUUACUUUGCCUUUAUUUUACUUUGCAUCUUUAUCAUAAAAAUAGUAAAAAUAUUAUCAUAUCAUAUCUUGCAGAUCUCACUCUCGUAAGUGGCCUUAUAGGGACUGACAACCCCUAUUUGCGUUGGUUGCGAGGAUUUAUUUGUUUUGUGCAGGUACGAGGGACUCGCGCGUAG
rnacentral:rRNA from 1 species